CUCAUCUCGUUUUAUCUCCACACACUUCGAGUGAUUCAUGAGGUAUAGACUCGGUAAGGUUGUGCUUAGUUCCACAUAAAACCUCAUCAUAUUCAUGCCGAGGUGAGGGGGAGUGUUCUCUCCUUGCCGACCACACCUUUGCCGAGUCCCUCUUCAUCCCAUUCCCUGCAGCCUUACUGAAAAUGAUUCAACAAGAACAAAGGAAACAGAUCAUUAUAACUUUCCCAAUAAACAAAGGCGUUAAUGACCCGAAUAAUCAAUGAAAUGCGACCCAUUUAAGCCAGCCCGCACCCUUUGGAGCCGAAAUAUAGACGUUAAAUUCGAUCAUCGAUGUAAUGUCAAACUAUGGAAACUACGAUUUAUGAUUUCUGUUUAGGGUUUUGAUGUUUCAGCUAACAGCAACACCAAUGGAGGGAUUGAAGGUACCCAAUGCGGAAUUGGUGGCGUAUAUACGUCCUCUGAAGUCUAAAAGUGUCUCUCAAGCCAUCUUUGGUGAACUAAGUUCACUGCUUUUAAAGUAAUUCUUCUUCCUUUUAUGUAUAAUAUUACCGAACUUGAAUACUAUGUUUCUCAAUGAAAGAUGAAGCUAUCUCUUACGAAAAGGAAUUCAGAUUCCAUUGCAAGAGAAGUUUUAUAGUUAGGUUUACUAGUUGUUGUUGAUUAACAUCAGAUGGUUGAUAUAUUCGAUAAUUGAUCAGAUAAUCCUUGGUCCUGGGUAGAAACCAUUAUAGGAAAGAAUCCACUUAUAUUAUAUAUAUUCUUGUAACUACCCUGAGAUAAAAAUAAAUAAAUAAAAUCUAUUAAUCUAUUUACAACCUUUCGAGCUCUUAGUAUUUGUAACCAUGGUGAUUUGUUUUUAGAAUCGGUAUUCGGGUAUUGUACUUGCAAACCCCUCAAAGAAACAAUACAUUUAAAAAACGUGGACAUUUUUGUAGAAAAUUUUCAUAUAUUUGUUUAUGUCGAUGUGGAAAAUGAUGAUGGACUUGUAUAACUUAUUCUAUUUGGCACUUGGUUUCAAUGUAACCAACACACAUGGUUACGAUUCGUUUAAAAAAUAAUUUUCAAAUUAAGUUAUUACACCUUUGUUUUUAAAUAAUACUAAGUUUUCUUAAGUGGGUAAGUGACUACACUGUUAUUUGUAUUUUAGUAUUUUAAGGAUUUUAUUAAACAGGGCAAAAUUUAUAGCUCCUGUCAGUUAUAUGAUUUUUUAAAGCAAACUCACUACCAUAAUACAUUGUGUCUCCUGAUCGAUGGCUAUACCCCGCUCUUUCAUUAAAAAAAAUUUUUAAAAAAAAAAAAAAAAAAAAAAAAAAAAGGUAGGUUUUGUUGUAAUGUGGGUGGUUGCUAUAUUUUAUUUGCAACACUUGAAUAGAUAUAUUUUAUUUUCUAUCCACUAUGGACUAUUAGAAAUAUUGGUUUUGUGAAAUGAAAAUUAAAGUAAAAACUUAAAUACACUUGUGGGUUAACUGUUUCGGAAACUUGAAGAUUAGCUCUCAACUUCCUCUGAAUUUUCAUCAGAAUUUUCACUUACUUCUUCCUCCUCCUCUUCAUGAUCAGGAUAAACAUUCAUGGGAUUGUCCUUAGUUAAACUCCCAAAAGAAAAUAAGAAAAGCAUAAGAAACAUCUAAAGAUGCCUAAGCCUGCCUUUGUUACAAAUAUACUAGACUAGAUGCGAGUGAGGGGCACUUAUGUCUUUUGCAAACCAUCAAUGUAUUGUAGUCAUCCUGAAUGAAUCUAAAUUGGUGGAUUGAAUGAAUCUAUUCUGGUGGAUUGAGUGUCACUCCCACACAAAAUUAUUUGUUUGAAGCUGAAUUUUGUAACUAAUUACACAAUUGUAAUACAAAAAUAAUUUUCAAGGUGAUUGAUUGUACACGAAUAGUCGUUAACAUGGUGAUUGUAUAACUUAAAAUUGGGACUUAUUCCUUACUUAUUAGAGGGGUAGCACUAAAGAUAAGAAAAAGGAAAAGAGUUAUACUAUGCUUUUGUUUGUUUCAAUUGUGUUUAUUCCUUAAUUAUUAAACUUCACAAAGAACAAAACAUAAAACCAAAUCUAGCAUAAUGAAGAUUUUGAGAAACAUAAUCGUCCACAUUAGAGUAUCAUACUUUUUACCAACCAGUAUUCAUAGAAUACGUCAUAAAUAAAGUAUUUUCUUGAUAUAAAAGCAUUACAUGCAAUUCCAUAAAAGCCAUGGUAGUUGGUAGUUGAAGCUUUUAUUUAUGCCUAAGCGUUUGGCAAAAUAGUUUUUAGCUUCUAAAUGUAUUAAAUUAGUUAAAAACUAAAAGCUACUUGAAAUAGUUUUUGGAUUUGAAGGUUUUUGUUUAGCAUAAAAGCUAGAAACUUUUUUUGUUUUUUCUUAAAAGCUAAAAGCCAACAUCCUUUUAGUGAAUGAGAGGGAACAUAUGAUUCGGUUGGAAUGGAUAAAGGUGGCAUAGAUGCUUUCUUAGAAAAGGUGAAAUGAAUGACAGAAAAGCAAAGACAUGCGUGCGUACUCAGUUUAAUUCAUGAGUUUGUGACGAAUACAUUCUUUUCAUUGCAUUAAAUAGUCUGUAUAAGGCGUAUAUCAUAAAGACAGAAACAUAAGAUCAUAAUGGAGGAAGUUGAACACGAGCAUGAACUAAAGCUCAUUGAUAUGCAUCUACAAUAUGCAGAUCAACACCUUGAAGAAGAUGAUGAAGUUUUUUUUAUUUUCUGGCGGCAAAUUGGAACUCUAUGUCACAUAUGUAAAGAAGAAAUCAAUUUGCUCCAUAGGUACUACUACAGAUGUAUGGGAGAGAUGUGUACUUUCUCAGUUCACGAAUUCUGUUAUGACCUCCCAAGAAUUUUAGAACACCCAUUACACCCACAUCCCCUUAUCCUAACCGGCAAUCCUUGCGGUCAAAUUUUCGAAAAUAGAUGCAGAAUUUGUCAGACACAUCAUGAGAAUUCAGCCGUACAUUAUCAAUGUUUUUCUUGUUAUGAUUUCUUCGUUUAUGUAAGCUGUGCCCUGAAAAUAGAAAAAAACACCAUCCAUCAUCCUAGCCACCCUCACUUGCUCAUGUCUGCUAUUGCUAAGCACAUUUUGUGCGAGUGUAAUGCUUGUGGGAAAAGACAUGAGGGGGUGUUCUAUCAAUGCACCACUUGUGUUGGCUUCACCAUACACAAGGAUUGUGCUAAGCUACCAAGAAAUUUGCUCAUCCAAGAGAGAACAGAUGGUGCCUUUUAUCAUUUUCAUCCACUCACCCUUUCAUAUUCCUUCCCGGAAAAAGAUCAAAAAGCCAAACAUCAUCCUAGAUGCAGAGUAUGCACUAAUGGUUUUUAUGAUAUGGAGAAUCUUUGGAUUUACAAAUGUGAUGUCUGCAUGUAUUAUGCCCAUCUGGAUUGCGCAACAUCAAGAGGAGAGCCAUUCAUGUCUAUCUUCUCGCCUGCUGGUAAUUAAUGAAUCCCUUUAACCUUUAUAUCAUGAUUGUUUAACUGUUUAAUUAGCGAUUGAAUGAUGAGAUAUACUAAUACUAAUUAAUUAAUUUCCAAUUUAUCAGGCUCGGGCAAAUCAAUUAAAAAUUAUGAAGAUGUUGACCAUCCUCACCUUCUUCAUCUCCCAUUCCCUGAUGAAUCUUAUAGCCUACCAAAACACUUGUUUUUCAAAGAAAGUGGAACAUUCGUAAUUGAUAAGGUAAACUUACAACACAUAAGUCAUCCACACCCUCUAAUUCUAGUUGAUGGGCAAACCUCCUCCUCAAAGAUUAAGGAUUCUUUGUUACUAAUGUGUCAUAACCCAAUGAAAAAGACCCAAUUGCUAUGCAAUGGAUGUCUCAGACCAAUCACGUCCACCAUGCCUUUUUACAAAUGCCCUCACCAGAGUUGCAACAACUUUGCUCUCCAUGAGUGGUGUACUCGACUUCCUCAAAAAAUAGAAAACCACCCGGGUCACCCACAACACACCCUCCAUCUCAUGUAUUCACACGUCCUUCCUCACUUUUUCGGUGUGUUCCUUUGUGAUGUUUGUAAUGUACCUUGCAAUGGAUUUUCCUAUUGUUGUGUCGAAUGUGAAUACUAUGUUGAUGUUGGUUGUGGGCUUAUACCUCAACAAAUCACACAUAAAGCUCAUCCGGAUCACCUUCUUUCAAUAGUCCGAAAAUCUUUUUUUCAUAAAUCUUGUCAUAUAUGCCUCCUACCUAAUAAAUGGAGCAGUUUUAUUUUCAGUAUUAGAGGUUUUCGUCAAAAAGAUCCAGUUUUCUUCAGCUGCAACAUUUGUGAUGUAUAUAUACAUCCAGAAUGUGCUUUGUUAUUAUCCGAGAAAAUCAUGCACAAGUGUGACAAGCAUCUUAUGCACCUAAGUUACCUUCCGAUUGAGAAUCAUAAGAGCGAAUACUUUUGUGAAAUAUGUGAGGAGGAUUUGAAUCCUCAUGAAUCUUUCUAUCAUUGUCAUGAUUGUGUUCAAUCUAUACAUACUGCUUGUGCUCCGUUGAUACUUCAUUGCGAGACAAAUACAUAUACAUGGGAGCAAAGAAGCAUUUAUUAUUACGUGAAUAUUAAGUUUGGGGGGAAUUAUAACACUGAUGCUCACCCACAUCCUCUCUCAUUUUCUCAAGGUAUUAUGUCAGAUGGUGAAUGUAAAAUCUGUCGCAAGAAAUUACACUGCCAAAUGAUCUUUAAAUGUCAGGAGUGUGAGUUUGCACUAGAUUACAAGUGUUGUCGGAGUUUAUGAUUUCUCUCUUUGUAAUUGUGACUACUCUUUGUUACAUAUCCCCCCCUUAUUUUAUGUGUAAAUAAUACAAUAAAAACGUGGCUUUCGUGUGUGCAUGUUAACUCUUGCCAGCCUUUUGUUCAUAUAUAGGAAAUUAAGCAUAUAUUUAUAAUUAUGGAACUCGGUGACUAUUCAUAUAAUUUAUUGUGUAUGCGAAAACAUAAAUUGAAUUGGUAAAGGAAAUUGCAAUUCAAGCAGACAAGAAAAAUGAACGAAUCCAUGAAGAGUUUUUAGCUUCUGUUAUUACUUGAUGAAAGCGUACAACCGGAAAGAAAACAAAAAGAUUAUAUGCAAUGCUUCAAACACGUGUGAGAGUCCUCACCCCUCCAUCACUCAUUUGAAAUGCAUAUCAACCCAAUACCAACCACCUUGUAACAUGCAUCGCCCCCUAUCACACACUUUCAAUAUCCAAUUCUUGAUAUGUGACUAUUAGUGAAAUAUAUUUACAUGUAUAAAUCUUUUUAAUUAGAGAACAUAUANNNNNNNNNNNNNAUACUCAAAUAUCUAUGAGAAGGCAGAGAACUUUUACCAUUUUGUAGUGGCAAAUCUAGUAGAAAUAAACUCACUUUUACCUUUCUUUAGUGGUAAACCUAUUAGAGAUAAACUCAGUCUCACAGCUAUAAAAAAAAACAAAGGAAACAGAGCAUGGUUGUUGGAGCGGAACAAAACAUUUGUAGUUUUGAUUUUACUAAGAUAUCAUUUAUCCUUUUAGUGCAUUUUCCUAUCAAUUUAGUUAUAGUGCAAUUCCUUUCAAUUUAUUUUCUUUUGAAAGUAGGUAGUAGNNNNNNNNNNNNNNNNNNNNNNNNNNNNNNNNNNNNNNNNNNNNNNNNNNNNNNNNNNNNNNNNNNNNNNNNNNNNNNNNNNNNNNNNNNNNNNNNNNNNNNNNNNNNNNNNNNNNNNNNNNNNNNNNNNNNNNNNNNNNNNNNNNNNNNNNNNNNNNNNNNNNNNNNNNNNNNNNNNNNNNNNNNNNNNNNNNNNNNNNNNNNNNNNNNNNNNNNNNNNNNNNNNNNNNNNNNNNNNNNNNNNNNNNNNNNNNNNNNNNNNNNNNNNNNNNNNNNNNNNNNNNNNNNNNNNNNNNNNNNNNNNNNNNNNNNNNNNNNNNNNNNNNACUUAUACAAUUAAUCCAAUUCAACAAAAUUUUCACCCCCAUUAGCAAUUCAACCCAAACCAAAUAUUUAUUACAAAUAAAGAAUUAAAAUGAAAUAUGAAAUAUGAAAUAUAUCGAUAUUAUAUUCUAUUUAAAGAGAUUUUAUUUUUCAAAAUUUAGUAUUUUUUGUUAAUUUUAUUGAGAUAAUAUUUAAUGUCUAAGUUACAAAUCAAUAAAAAAUAGAUAUGACAUAUAAAAAGAGAGAGAGAGAGAAAUGGAGUGAGCAAGUGUGAGUUGGGGUUGUGGUGGUGGCCUAGUUCACCAUUAAUCAUUUAAUUUUCAUUUUCUUUAUUUAAAAAAUUGUUGAGCUGAACANNNNNNNNNNNNNNNNNNNNNNNNNNNNNNNNNNNNNNNNNNNNNNNNNNNNNNNNNNNNNNNNNNNNNNNNNNNNNNNNNNNNNNNNNNNNNNNNNNNNNNNNNNNNNNNNNNNNNNNNNNNNNNNNNNNNNNNNNNNNNNNNNNNNNNNNNNNNNNNNNNNNNNNNNNNNNNNNNNNNNNNNNNNNNNNNNNNNNNNNNNNNAACCGUGCCACACCGAUGUCAGAUACACUAAUACUCCCUUUAGGCAGGAAGCUCGAUAAAUAUAAACAAGGAUAUGUUGAGCCACAUAGGUGCACGAUGUUGACUUUGAUACCAUAUAAGAUAUAUGUGGAGUCCAUGAUUUACUCCCCAAAAGAACCCUUAUGGAGAGUGGGAAGAUUCUAACACACACACACACACACACACACACAUAUAUAUAUAUAUACACAUACACACAUAGACACACACACAUACACUAAUUAGACUGUGUCAUACCAACAUAGGAUCACCAACACUUUUCUUCUUCAUAGGUGUUUUCUCUCACACAAAACGAAUACAAAAACAAUUGCACAAGCUUUCAUUUACUAUCUACAAAUUACAAAAAUUUUCAUAGCUUUAGAUGUUGCUUGAAUAUAAAGCCCAUGAGUAUCGUAACAUACCAAAAUUUCAUAAAAAUUUAAAACUUUUUUAAACAUCCAAAAACCAUUAAUUAUUACAAAGUGUUUUAAAAAUAGUUCAAUAUCAGAGAAUCCCAGAAAUCUAACUCAUAAAAUGUGAGGAUGUGUGCGUUACACCUUCGUCUUCCCGCGAUCAUCUGAAGUACCUGAAAUGAAAUCCAUAACUUUAAGCUUGAAGGCUUAGUAAGUUACCCCCAAUAUACCGAUACAUAACAAACAGUUCACAUAAUAACAAUACAACAAUAACAGUAACAACAUGCAAUGAGUCCACAACUCUAUAGAUUGGAUUACCCCUAAGCCCAUAGUAUGAGUAUGGCUUGCCCUUCCCGGCCCUUAUCUCACAUCUGGCUUUCUCCCGAGCCCAUAUCAUAAGUCUAGCUUGCCCUCGGGCCCACAGCCUAUGCCUGGCUUGCUCCUUCAAUCAUUGGACUGAAAUAUAAAUAGUCAGCCCUCAGUACGAGUCUAGCAUGCUCGUCUCAACCCUCAACUUGUAUUUGGAAUGCAUAUGAGUCCUUAGUAUGAGUCUGACAUGCCCUCCCUGGCCCUCAGCUCAUAUCUGGCAUACUCCACGGUUUGUUGGCCACCGUAUGGAGCAGUGCAACCUCAACCCAACCCACAUAACAUGUCGACAUGUAACAAAUAAGUGCACAUACAGAUAAUCAAACAAUAUCACAAGUAGUCCUACAGAUCUACCAGACUAGCAUAUCAAACUAGUACGCAUAACUAUCUCAUACUCAGCAUAUCAAUAACUACUAGGAUAUCAGAUCCAAUGGGCCAGCCAUGGUGCCUUAGACCCCUUAGUAUAGUGAGGACAACUCACCUCACAAUGUCGAAAUGAACUGAAAAGAUCAAACUCCGGAAUCACAGCUAUGAACUCAACCACCUAUAACCACCAUAGGACCAAUUCUAUCAAGAUCCCAAAUUACCAAAAUACCCUCAGCAGUCAAACUUGGUCAACCAUGAUCAAAGUCAAAGUCAACACUCCAUUUUGACGCAACUCAUCGAGUGCAGCUACUGACUCGUCGAGUUCCUCCUGAACUCAGAAAACCGUGAAAACCCAAGUCAACUCGCGGAGUUGUCAAAAUAACUCGUCGAGUCCAUACAGUGUCCAGAAGAUCGGGAAAAACCCUAACCAACUCGUCGAGUUAUCUCACCAACUCGCCAAGUUCACUCAUAAUCCAGAAAUCAGGAAGACCCGACUCAACCCGUCGAGUUGGCUACACAACUUGUAACACCCGCAGAUCCGGGCUAGUCAAAUUAGAGGCAAUAAGUGUCGAAAAUGACUUCUCCACAAAAGAUUGUUUAGAAUAAAUAAUCUUAACCAAGUUUUUGAAUAUGUCUCAAGGGUUCCGUGCAUAUAAAGAACGCCGAAAUCUGAGUUAUAACGAAGAAGAUAUGACUCAUCGAAGUUUUACGGCAAAACCGACACAACACCGAGAAUCGUAAAAAGUGAAUUUAUGAAAAAAUAAUUUCUAGCCUUAGCAAUCUAAAUGAAAGUUGUAUUAUAUGUUAAACCGAUAGUGUGCAUAAAAAGAACGUCCAAAUCUGACUUCGUAUGAGGAAGUUAUGAUUUUUCUAAGAUUUAGCAUAACAGUAAACAACCUGGAAAUUCGAAUUUUAGAUCGGUCGAUUUUUAGCUAAAAUAAUCUAAACGAUAAAUGAAUAUAUUGUUAAUAGGAGUUAAACGAUAAAAAGACAGUCGAAAACGGAGCUCGUAUGCGAAAGAUAUGGACGAAGCUUAGUCUCUACUCUUCAAGCGCGGCGAAUUCGAUGCAGAUUUGUAAAUCUGAGAUAGAAUAAGAAUUGGCUGAUGAGAUCUAAAUGAAAGUUGUAGUACUUGUAAAUACCAACGCGUGGAUAUAAAGAACGUAAAAACAGAGCUCAUACGCAGAAGAUACAGACGAAGCUUAGAGACUACUCUACGAUAAAACCCCUAUACAUAAAGGGUGAGUCCUUCAUAUUUCUCACACCUUUCACCCUCUCUUUCUCUCUCUAAUUUCUCUCUCUAAGCCCCCUAACCCCCCUAAGCCUAGGUAAACCCCUAACACCCGAAGGAAGCCAUGAGACUUCUGGAGUCUCGAGAAAAAGGGUCUUUCGGUUCAGAAACGCUGCUCCAAGCGAAGCCUGGUUUUCGAGAGAUCCCGCUGUAAGUGAGCUACGCCUACGCUACUUUUAAUAUAGCUUUUAAUUAGUUAUAGUAACGUUAUUAGGACCUUAUUAUAAUUAUUUGGGCUAUUAUUAUGGUUUAUAUAAGUGUUGUUGUAAUAUCUUUUUAACCACUCGCGGUACGGGGAAUAUGUUGGAUUAGUGUCUAAGUCCAUAACUAUUUUGGUAUGUACUUGACCCGAUAAUGAGCAUGGUCCUUUUGGGUUGCCUUCACCAUAGCAAUAUGUAGGAUGAAUUAAGGAGAUAAAGGUUUAAUUAUGAUUUAUUAAUAUAUUAUGAGAAUAAUAUAUUAAAGGAGAAAUCAUAUUGUUUAAUUAAUAUUAGUCAAGAAUUAAUUAAGAAUUAUUUUUGUGGCUAAAAGAGAUUAAUUAAACUUAAGGGACUUAUUGUGUAAUUAUAAGAAAAUUACAUAGAUGGGCUAAUGGACUCCAUAGAAGUUGGAGUGGACUAAUUCUAUGGGGAAAUCCAUUAGAAAUCGUCAAAGGCUUCUAAAGAGGGAGUCCAUGGGCUGCUUAGGGCUUAAGCAGUCAGAUUAGGGUUUCCUAGUUGUAAACCCUAAUAGCCAGCCUAUAUAAGGAACCCUUAUGGCCCUAAAAAUGUGGUGAAUACUUCCUUUAGGGUUUCCAGUUGUUUUUGGUGCCUCCUCUCUCUUCUCUCUUCAUCCAAGUUCCUUAGUGGUGUUUGUGACUCCAUUAGAGGUGCAACACUUGAUACACUAAGCUUUCUGAAGCCAAGGAUUGAUUGUUAUUGCUAUAUAACAAUCAAAGGUAAGAUCUAAACCCUAAUUUCAGUUAUAGUUUAUUAGAUCUAGGGUUUAUGACUUUGGAUUAUCAAUUGCAUGUUCAUUAGACAAACUAGAUCCAAAGCUAUUAGGGUUUGCAUGUACACCAUAGGAUUGAUGUUUUGCUCAAAACCCAUCAGAAUCUGGUUUGGAGGGCCGCUUAGGUUGUUGUAUUCAGAAGUGCUAUAUGCCAACAUGAUCCUGCCCUCCGGUGUUUCAUGUCUGGCUCCCUGUCUGUACAUAGUGGGUGAAGAGUAUUUUUUAACGCUUAUAUAAUAGUAAUAAUAGCUAGACUAUUAAUUACUCUCGGUAAAACGUUAGACUAAACUCUAGUGGUAAUGGUACUAGGUUUUGUUGAAGGAAAUUGUUUUAAAGUAAAUGAAGUGUUUUCCGAGAACCGCGUCACCACCUUAUCAGGUGAGUGCAUAGUUACUUUCAUCUUACACAUAGAUACGAAGUAUUUUAUAUAAAUUAUGUACUAUGUGUGCAUAUUAUCUGAAUUCUUGUUGUUUAUGCUGGAUGAACGAUUGUAUACAUACUUCAAAUAAAUUAAACUGUAUAUGUAUUUUAUAUCUAUAAAAUAUGUUGGGUAAAACAUGGGUAGAUGAAAGAUGAGUCGGAUGAUGAGAUGAGAGGUGAUAUAGACCAUGAGAUAAGGGUGAGAGGUGAACAAUGAGAGAAGCCUUUUACCCAAAUGAUGGACCCGUCAUCUAGCAAAGUAUGGAUGACAACGACAGACUAUUCUAGACAGUCUAAUGGAACACUAGCAGGCUCGCAACCAGUAGGUGCUAUGAAAGAUGUGUUCACCCGGUGUACUCUAAACCUUGGCGACUAUGCAGACUUAGUGCCUAAACCUUGGCGAUCAUGCAGACUUGAUGCCUAAACCCUGGUGACUAUGUAGACUUAGUACCUAAACCAUGGCGACUAUGCGGACUUAGUGCUUGUUGUAUAAACCCUGGAGACUAUGCAGACUUAGUGCCUAAACCCGGUGACGAUGGACUUCGUGCCAAUUCUUAGGAUAAUCCUUAGGAAUAAAUGAACAAGGAAUAGCUGAUUUUUAGGGUAGAUCCUUAAGAGUAAAGAAGAUAAUAGGGAUGGGUAAUUGGGUUGAUUAAUUGUUUGAAGAUUAAACAUAAUAAUUAUAUUGUUAUGGGUUGAAAACCCUAUGUACUCACCAGGUUUCCCAACCUGACCCACUCAGUUUAUUUAUAUCACAGGUGUUGAUAUGAAGUCACAUUACACUGAGAGAUUAAGUAGAUAUAAAUCACUAGUGAUAAUGAAUGUAAGUUAUGUAUAUGUUUAUGUUUCUGUAUUGACGAUGACAUCCCAAAUGUUUUAAAAUGAAUAAAAAUACUUUUCUUCGGAAAUGCUUUGAUAAUGUAUUUAUCAUGUUUUACUGGGAACAAAUUCCGCAACAUUUUUAUUAAAAGAGGUACUCUGAUUUUUAUAAAGCAUAAACAAAAUCGGUCUUUUAUGGCCGUGAAAAUGGGGAUGUCACAGUUGGUAUCAAAGCCUUAGUUUAAUCGAACUAGGAAUAAGGACUUAUUUCUAGACUUAGACUUAGAAUGCUAAGCAAUGAUCGUGAGGAGUGUGUAUAAUAUAUUUUAGGUAGUACACCUGAAUAGACACAAGCACUAGCUUAUUUAGGGAAGAUGCCUAACAUGCUUUUAUGUGCUUAAUAAUUUGUGAUGCUUUAUGCUAUCGUUUGAUCGGAUCUAUGGUCUAUUGCCGACCGGAUCUGGAAAUUUUAUGUGUGCAGAUUUCUAAAUGUUUAAUUACGAUAUUAGAACCGACAUAUAAUUUUUCAAGGUAAUAAGGAUGAAUACGCGUCUAAACCUUCCUCUAUCUUUAUUCUCGUCUUGAUACACCAAACGACUGCUCUGGUGUGCAGAACAUCAUGGUGAAGACUCGAAGUGAAUUGAGUACAUGGAGGAACUGAGAAGGCUUACGAUAUUGAAUAGUUCCUAUCAGAAGAUAUCGUAAGAGUGAUAUCUUGCCUUUAGAACGCGUCUAAUAAAUAACACGUCUAGUACAGGAGAAGUACACUUUCAUUAGUAGAAAGAAAGAUUUUUUGUAUAAUCCAUGAAGUUAUCCCAUCGUCUGACAUUUCCAUCACCAACCGAGUUAAAGUAGAAUUGAUGAUUGAAGACACGCAUGGAAGAAGUACUAGUAGAGUCUAGGGAAAAUUCUAUGAUUGUUUGGACACAUUUGUAUGUGUUAAAAUUGUUUUUGUGAUAAUAACUUGGAGAACUGCGAGACAAUACUUGGGACGAGUAUGAGUAGGUGUGAAAGGUAGUAGAGGCCUAUACUACCGGAAGCACAUGACUCACGCUUGGAUCAGGGAAAGUCACAAGGUUACCAAUGCACUAGUAAUUGAUUAUGUUUUGUCCAUGCCUGUCGUUACCAUCGUUUCGGUAAUGACUAAGAAGAUGAUUGUUAAUCUGACCCUAGUGGUCAUAUCAAAUCAAGUCUGACUAAGAUGAUUAUGUUACGUGGUUCAAAGAACCAAGUUUGAUGUAGCAUCCGACAUAAGCCAGAAGAUUAAAGUGAAAGAUAAUCAAAGCGAUCAAUAGAAGUAUCGUGAUCAUUGUUAAAGAACCUGGUAGCUAGAAAUUCUACACAUUAAAAUGUGAUUAUAUCACAUUAGAACAUGAAGGAAAGUAUAUACCAUUAUGGAAUUUGACUCUAAAAGACCUGAGUCUGAACGUUGCAUCAUACGAUGAGAGGUAAUUAGAACGUGGCCCAUCGGUCUAUUAUGACAAUCAAAGGAAGGAACUUAUCUUAAGUUGUUAAGAAGUAGAAAGAGUCCCCAAUAAGGUCCGAGAUUGUGACAGGAAUGUCAUGAUUGAAAGCCUAAUACGAGACAGAGUGCGGGUGCAAGAUCAAGCACCGCCUGCAGUCAAGAAGUCAAAGAGUUAGAUACUCGUUCGGAGAAACAUAGAAGUCAUAGUUAUUACCUAGGAUGAAGAGAUAACAUAUGGAAUCAUUAUACAAUCUUGUUUCGUUGAUGAUUUCGGGACGUAAUCAUCCUAAGGGGGAGAUAAUUGUAACGCCCGCAGAUCCAGGCUAGUCAAUUUAGAGGCAAUAAGUGUCGAAAAUGACUUUUCGACAAAAGAUUAUUUAGAAUAAAUAAUCUUAACCAAUUUGUAGAAUAUGUCUCAAUGGUUCCGUACAUAUAAAGAACGCCGAAAUCCGAGUUAUAACGAAGAAGAUAUAACCCGUUGAAGUUUUACGGCAAAACCAACACGACACUGGGAAUCGUAAAAAGUGAAUUUACGAUAAAAUACUUUCUAGCCUUAUCAAUCUAAAAUAUAGUCGUAGUAUAUGUUAAACCGAGAGUGUGCAUAAAAAGAACGUCCAAAUCUGACUUCGUAUGAGGAAGUUAUGAUCUUAAGUCUUAAGGGCCAAAACCAAGCUCAAGAAGAAGUUUUAGGUAAGGAGAAGGCCAUAGCUUGACAAAGACUAGAACUUUGUGACUAUAAGGGGCUAGAGGAGUCCAGAUCUGAAGUUACAACUUGAAAUCAUGCCCAAAACCAGAAAUAUCUCAACAAUACACUAGAAAUGGCCCUAAUCCCAAGCAUGAAGAGAUCUAGCUAAAGAAGAGUCAAGUUAACGACUUGUUACCUUCAAAAUGAUGCUAAGAUGGAGUAGAAAUCGGAUCCACAACUUCUCCUUGCUCCAAUCUCCUUAGACUUCAAGCUCUUCUCACAAAAUCCACAUUCCAAGCUUAAUAACACACAAAAAUGGAGAGUAAAUACGAUUUAGGGUUUUCUGAGCUCAAGGGGGACGGUAAGGGAAGCAAAUGGAGGCUAAUGACGCUUUAAAUAGGGUGCAAAACCUGGAAAUUAGGGUUUCAUUUUCUAGCUCCAGCUCGUCGAGUUUUGCUUCUCAACUCGUCGAGUAGAGAAUUUCGUACACGUCGAUUUGAGGCCAUCAACUCGACGAGUUCCAAGUCAAAAUGUCCUUUUUAUAUAAAAUUCAUAUACCUGGAAGUCGGGGUGUUACAAAGUCGCGGUCCGAUUAUUAACUCAUUAUAGACCUCGUAGUUUGUUUUGUUACUGUAUAGAAUUGGAAUAUGAUUUAUACGAGAUUUUUUUCACUUAUACUAGUCGAAAGAGAUUGUAUAUAGUGGAAUAGUUUUUGACUCAUAUUGACAGGUGUCAUCACUAAAAUUAAGUCUUAAAUCACUUAAUUAACAACAUGACACGAUUGAUUAAGGUUUAAUAACUUACAAUUAAUAAGUUAUGUGUAUAAACCUUGCAUUUUUGCAUGAAAACACUAUGUUUAUGUGGGAGGAGUUUUCCCCACUGAUUAAGUGUCGGUUCCCAAAUUAAGUAAGAUAACACUUAAUUAAUACUAUGACACGAUCAUACAAAGUUUAUAAACUCAAAACCUAUGAGUUUUACAUAUAAACUAUAUAGUUGCUUGUACGAAAUUUCAAGAGUAAAAUUGGUUAUUUUAUGUUUUCACAAUGUGUGACGUGUCUUUAUUUUAUAAAAUUUGUUAUUCAAAUCCUUAUAAAAACGCAUUUUUUUGUCACGAGAACCGUAAAGUUGGAUAUAAAUUUGACUCACUUAUAUAUUUAUCAAAUUUUGUACUUUUGUAUUUGAACAAACAAUAUUUCUAAAUGAGUCCAAAUACAUUUUUAUAACUCAUUUAUUUUCAUACUUUUGAUAGAAAAAUACGUAUUUAUAAAAGCUGGUCAACCAGAUAAAUUUUAUACAAUACUUUUGGUUAUAAAAGUACUUUGUGUCAAAACAUGUAGAACUCACCAACAAUUUUGUUGAUGUAUCUUAAUGCAUGUAUUCUCAGGUUUAUUAGUAGGUUGGAAGAGGUUGCAUAGAAGACUUUCCGUUAUUUUACUAUACUUUUGUAAACAUCAAAUUGUUAGGCGUGUGUUGAGAUUUAGCAAUAGCCUUUGUCAAUGUAAAUUCUAUUUCGGUAACAAUAAAAUAUUAUAUUUGUAUUGUUCAAUGUCUGGGGUGAGACAUUCAACCCAUUGCCACACCAGUUCUUCAUCAACUUUUAUUUUUAUACUCUCUUCCAUAUUUUUCUACCCACAACCCACAACACAUGAAAAUGAUAUAUUUUCCAUCCCACUCAAUUAUAUGUGUGUGUCUAUAUAUAUAUAUAGAUAUAUAUAUAUAUAUAUAUAUAUAUAUAUAUAUNUAUAUAUAUAUAUAUAGAGAGAGAGUGUGGGGGGGGAGGGGGUUGAAGAACUCGCUUAAAGCACCAAGAACCACCAAGGGGCAUAUUGAUUUUCUUGGAGGUACCUCCAGCAUCAACAACACACUCACGAAAAACCCCAACCACUCGUGCAUCCUUAGGUUACAUUUCUUGAUAUCACAAAUUUGAAGCAAAUAUUACAUAAGAAAGAUAAAAAAAAAAUAGUAUUAAAAAAAAACUCAAAAUCUCAAUCUCAUGGAAUCAAGCUACAUUUCCAAAACCUUACACAACUAGUAAACGAAUUGAUGUUAUUAGAUAUACAUUUAUUAGAGUUGUUUAGGCCAAGGAAUUUACAUAAUUUCCAUGGACAUUGGAGGGUUGAGGGGGGUGGGGGAGUUGGAAUAUGAUAACACUCAUCUUGGGAGAGAAAAGGGAGAUUGUGGAAGUACAUGUGAGGUUGAAUGAAAUUUAGUUGGCGAUUCAUGUAAUUUUCCGUUCUUCAUUUUUCUUGAAUAAUGGGCUUUACUAAAAACAGUAAAUUACAUGAAUCGUCAUUCGUGCAAGUUCCAAAAGACACGUUAGGUCUUAUUUUCAAAAAUAACUCGGACCGUCCCUUGUUAGGUUAAACGUUGUAAGCUUCAUCCGACGUUAGUUUAAAUAUGCAUGCUUCAUCCCCUGCGAGCCAUGAAAUGACUAUAAUACCCUUUUCAAUUUUAUUUUUCAUUUACUUUUGACAUUUCUAAUUAUUUUUAAUUAUUAAAAAACAUUUCAAUUAAGUUGCGGAUCCAUUUAACUUUAAGCCUAGUGUGUGUACACACACACACACACACACACAUAUAUAUAUAUAUAUAUAUAUNNNNNNNNNNNNNNNNNNNNNNNNNNNNNNNNNNNNNNNNNNNNNNNNNNNNNNNNNNNNNUGGAGUACUAAAAUCAAAGAUGAUGCAAGUCGUUGUUGGUGGAGAGGAAAUGUAAUAAAGAAGAAGAGGGGGAGGGGGGGUGUUUCUUAUGAAGGAUGCUUAUGGUUUAGGGCCUAUUUCAUUAUUAAAAACAAUAAAUAAAUAUUUUGAAAAUAAAAAUCAAUAGAUAAUUAAUAAAUAACAAAUAAAUACAAAAUAAAUGAAAACGACAAUAUGGUUAAUCAUGUCUAUUAUGGACAGAAUGUGCACGUUUUAAACAAACAGAUGAUAGUCCGAAUAAUUUUUAAAGAUAAUGAUUAAAUAUUUUUUUGAAAUUUGAACGAAGGAUGAUUAAUGUAAUUUACUAUGUUAAAAAUCAUCCCUAUAAAUCCUAGUUAACCAUUAAAAAUAAUGAUAAAAGACAUAAUGCUUAUCCUCUUUAUCUUGUUUUAGGUUUGUGUAUAUCUACACACUUCUAGUGAUUCAGGUGGGUGAUAUGAUGAUCUUUAAGAACAUAGAUUGGUAUAUACAUUAUUACUGAAAAUGAUUCAACAAGAACAAAGGAAACAGAGCAUUAUAACUUUCCCAAUAAACAAAGGCGUUAAUGACCCGAAUACUCAAUGAAAUGCGACCCAUUUAAGCCAGCCGCACCCUUUGGAGCCGAAAUAUAGACGUUAAAUUCGAUCAUCGAUGUAAUGUCAAACUAUGGAAACUAGGGUUUAUGAUUUCUGUUUAGGGUUUUGAUGUUUCAGCUAACAGC
rnacentral:lncRNA from 1 species